CAGAGGGUGCAAGCGUUAAUCGGAAUUACUGGGCGUAAAGCGUGCGUAGACGGUUACAUAAGUCGGGUGUGAAAGCCCCGGGCUCAACCUGGGAAUUGCAUUCGAGACUGCGUAGCUAGGGUACGGUAGAGGGAAGCGGAAUUUCCGGUGUAGCGGUGAAAUGCGUAGAUAUCGGAAGGAACACCAGUGGCGAAAGCGGCUUCCUGGACCAGUACCGACGUUCAGGCACGAAAGCGUGGGGAGCAAACAGGAUUAGAUACCCUGGUAGUCCACGCCAUAAACGAUGAGAACUAGACGUUGAAGGGGUAAGCCCUCCAGUGUCGUAGCUAACGCGCUAAGUUCUCCGCCUGGGGAGUACGGCCGCAAGGUUG
rnacentral:rRNA from 1 species